GAGAGGGAAAAGUCUGCACCUCCGAAUGUUCGGUCUUGGACGUUUUCCAAGCAUUUCAAGAUGACUCGGUCCAGCUGUCACACGGCUGUGUAAGUCAGGGUUAAAACCACAGCCGCACAUACUCCCAGCUUUAGCUCUGCCGUCCGAGUUCAGAUGAAACCAGGACGGGAAGUGAAAUAAGGUGUCUUUUGUCUCAAACUCCCGCCGAUUUCUUGUUCACACCUGAGGGAAGUUAAGAUGGGUUUAUGCCGACGGAAUGGGAGGGGCUCCCACGGCACGUCAGCCCACGAGUUCAGCUCUUCCCCCAUCACGUGCGUUCUAGAAGUCAGGGCACUUGCAAAGAGAGAAGCAUCUGCCUAGGACUGUUGCCGUCUCCCACCGUAAAAAGAAAAAUAACAUAGAAGGAAGUUUAAGAAACAAUUAGAGGACACCAGAUAAAAGACAUGAAAGACGCACAUUCUUACGAGGCAAGCAAGAUCGGGCUCUGCGACACAGACCUCUCAGGCGAUGUUUCAAGUAAUCACCGCGUCUAUGCUAAGCACUGGGUUCAACUCUGGAUCUACCGAGACAAACAGAUCAAGCAACUGAACUCCUGAAACUGACAACCGGAAGAAAAUACAGAAGGUGCGGUUAUGAAAACAGUCUCUGCUCUGGCGCCCCCUGGAUUUUUGUCUCUCCCGGCCGUUCCAGCUCUGCGUGGCUGUCCCCACCACUCCACACUCGUCUUGAACCCCUUUCCUGCGUCUGGACCAAUUUUUACUUCCAAGAAGAAGUCUCGCUGUGGGUACUGAGUCUGUGCCAGCAAAUUCCUAAGGAAAGUUUGCUUCUCUUCAGUGAGGCUCUCAAAGUGCCCGCCCCUAUUCACCUGUCCCUCAGGGCCUUCCUUCUUCCUCACUGCGCUCGUCCUGACAGGGUUCUCCCACAUCAUAUAAAUGCUUCGGACUUUGUA